rnacentral:rRNA from 1 species
GUCCACGCCGUAACUAUGGAUGCUAGCCGUCGGAUAGCUUGCUAUUCGGUGGCGCAGCUAACGCAUUAAGCAUCCCGCCUGGGGAGUACGGCCGCAAGGUUAAACUCAAAGGAAUUGACGGGGGCCCGCACAAGCGGUGGAGCAUGUGGUUUAAUUCGACGCAACGCGAAGAACCUUACCAGCCCUUGACAUGCCCGGACGGUUUCCAGAGAUGGAUUCCUCCUAGCAAUAGGUCGGGACACAGGUGCUGCAUGGCUGUCGU